GCUGUUGUGGCUCAAUGUAGAGUGUCCUCUCAAUGUUUCGUACCAGACGAGAAUGACAUCAGAUUGUGCGGAACGCGUGGGUUCGAAUCCCACCAGUAGCA